GAUGAACGCUGGCGGCGUGCCUAAUACAUGCAAGUCGAGCGAACAGACGAGGAACUUGCUCCUCUGACGUUAGCGGCGGACGGGUGAGUAACACGUGGAUAACCUACCUAUAAGACUGGGAUAACUUCGGGAAACCGGAGCUAAUACCGGAUAAUAUAUUGAACCGCAUGGUUCAAUAGUGAAAGACGGUUUUGCUGUCACUUAUAGAUGGAUCCGCGCCGCAUUAGCUAGUUGGUAAGGUAACGGCUUACCAAGGCGACGAUGCGUAGCCGACCUGAGAGGGUGAUCGGCCACACUGGAACUGAGACACGGUCCAGACUCCUACAGGAGGCAGCAGUAGGGAAUCUUCCGCAAUGGGCGAAAGCCUGACGGAGCAACGCCGCGUGAGUGAUGAAGGUCUUCGGAUCGUAAAACUCUGUUAUUAGGGAAGAACAAAUGUGUAAGUAACUAUGCACGUCUUGACGGUACCUAAUCAGAAAGCCACGGCUAACUACGUG
rnacentral:rRNA from 1 species